AAGGGAGCGAGAGAAAAGAGUGUCACACGAAGAGCGACGAGAGAGAGGGAGCGAGAGGGAGGAGAGAGAGAGAGAGACCCCCCUCUCUGCAGAGCUCUCCCCUGGAAGUCUCAGCUGCUGGCUAGACUGCGUGGUUAGGUGGGCAGUCUGCCUGCGCGCCGCCACAGCUGCGAGUGGACACUUCGCCUUUCUGUUUAGAUUUUUUAGGCAAAGGCGACCAUGGAACUAUGGGCGGAAACAAAUAUGGGGAAAACAUGUGCAGGCUGGCGGAAGAUCGCAGGAGGAUCGGGAAGAACGGCUUCGUGUUGAGCAAAAGAAGAGGGGGAUGGGAUGAAGCCCGCAGAUUUUCCAGGAGCUGGCUUUUUUUUUUUUCAUAAAGCGCGUCAUUCCAGACUGCAGCGCUGCUGUUAUCCUGUGACAGGUCCGGAGGUGGAGGACAGUUUUACCGACCAACAGUAAUCUAAGGUCCAAGAUCUCACAGUCAACCGAGAAGGAAGGGAACAGAGGCUGGAGACGCGCAGCGCUGCGUCGCGCGCACGGCGCACACUCCCCCCUCCCCCCUCCUCCCUUGUCUUUUACUGGGGCGCCUUUUUCAAAAAGCUGUCUCUGCAUAUGAGAUGUGUUCGCAGCCCGUUCUGCCUUCUCAGGUUUCACAGCCUGCUGCGAAAGGAGCGCGGCCUGCAUGAGGAGCAGGCUGACAACAAACCCAUUCUUCUUUUAUUCUUCUUAUUAUUAUUAUUCUUUAAAAAGACAGCUUUAUAUGAAUCUCAAAGACAUAAAGACGCCUCCUUUAAUUAGUUUGGGGACAACUGGAGUUCCAGUAUUUGUAAUUCAGAGAGAAUUUGCCGCUGUACGUCCCUAUAACGCUGUGAAACCUGUUGUAUGUCUGCUGAAUGAACACACAUGCAUUCAGUUCUUUGUUUUUGAUUUGGUUUUGUAAAUAAAGAUGUAUUAGAAAAUC